GGAAUAAAAGUCGUAACAAGGUUUCCGUAGGUGAACCUGCGGAAGGAUCAUUAUUGUAUAACCGAGGUGCGAGGGCUGUCGCUGACCCGAAAGGUCGUGCACGCCCGAGUGCCCUCACACACAUCCAUCUCACCCCUAUGUGCACCACCGCGUGGGUCCCCCUUUGGCUUGUUCGGAGGGGGGCUUACGUUUUCACACAAACUUUGUAUGCAGUGUAGAAUGUAUUUUUUGUUUUUGCGAUCACGCAAUCAAUACAACUUUCAACAACGGACCUCUUGGCUCUC
rnacentral:misc_RNA from 1 species